CAGUAGCCGCGGGAAUACGUAGGGUGCGAGCGUUAAUCGGAAUUACUGGGCGUAAAGCGUGCGCAGGCGGUGCUGCAAGACCGAUGUGAAAGCCCCGGGCUUAACCUGGGAACUGCAUUGGUGACUGCAGCGCUGGAGUAUGGCAGAGGGGGGUGGAAUUCCACGUGUAGCAGUGAAAUGCGUAGAGAUGUGGAGGAACACCGAUGGCGAAGGCAGCCCCCUGGGCCAAUACUGACGCUCAUGCACGAAAGCGUGGGGAGCAAACAGGAUUAGAUACCCCCGUAGUCCCUGUCUCUUAUAC
rnacentral:rRNA from 1 species